rnacentral:lncRNA from 1 species
UGUUUGCUCACAUGAAUUCGACUAUUCAUUCUUAGUGUUUGUUUGGUAUUGCAUUUGCAAAAUGGACUUUUGGUGGAAAUCACAACAAAAAAUCACGUUAGCGUAGAAGCUAGUAUUUGGAGCUUUUGGAAAUCACAGCAAAAAUACAUCAGAAAGCGUGCAAACGUGAUUUUGUGUGUUGCAAACGGAAAACCAAACACACGAUUAAUCUCUCAAAAUAUCUACUUGUCUAUUACAUCCAAAAACAUUAGAGACAUCAGGAAACAAAAUUGAAGUCAAAUAUAUUUUUGUUUGUAUUUUUGUAACAUGUUUGUAUUUUUUUUUGUUUUGUUUGUAGAUCUAGUGGGUUUGGAUAUGUUUGUAUUGAUUAUAUUUUUGUUGGUCUAAUACCUCAUUUGAUCCUUUAAGUUUGACAAUCGGAUUAUUCCUCUAAGUUUUUUAAGUUUUAAAUUGAUCCUUUAAGUUGUUAAUUUAAUGCACUGAUACCUUUAUAAGGAUUGGGGUAUGGGAUACUCGUAACCUUGUUCGUAAAAGCAUUCAUCAAGACCGGAUCUUCGUGCAGGCUAUCUUGCUUUGCGUUGGUGGAGAGGUGGUGAUGAUGGAUGGCCCCAGUACUUCGUCUUCUUCUUUGGAAGGAUGAUCAACGUGAUGGAAGAACAUGACUAUCAAGGUACAAACAUUUUGAAAUACAAAUAAAAUUACACACAUGGAGGUAACAUUACUAUU